rnacentral:rRNA from 1 species
GAGAGUUAAACAGUACGUGAAAUUGUUGAAAGGGAAACGAUUGAAGCCAGUCGUACCUAUGGGUAAUCAGCCUUUUGGGUGUGAUUUUGUGGAGCGUGAGGAGUUAAACGCCUUCAUGCCUGCAUAUUCGUGCACUUUGGGUGUACUUGCCCGUGUGUAAGUUAACAUCAAUUUUGGUGGUCAUAAAAUGGCUGGAGGAAUGUAGCUUUGAUCUUGUAUUGAAGUGUUAUAGCCUUCGGUAGAUGUGACGAUCGGGAUUGAGGAUUGCAACGGAUACCCUUCGGGGCUACCUGUCUGAUCUCUGAUUGUUGCUCUGGUGCCGAAAGCUUGCUUACGGUUAUCAAAGUCGAUGGUCAAUAGGUUAGAAUGGGUUAAAUUCGUUAAGGAUGUUGACGUAAUGGCUUUAAACGA